AGAAGGGCUCUUUAUGUCCCUCUGUCCGGUGGUGGUCGCAAGCGAGGCCUGCACCGUAAUUGCCAUCACCAUAGUCUGAAGACCUACAGCAGGGCUCUGCCUGGCUCUGCGUCCCUCUGUCCAGUGGUGGUUGCAAGCGAGGCCUGCACUGUAAUUGCCAUCACCAUAGUCUGAAGGUUUUCUGCACGUAAAGCGCAAGAUGGAGC